GACGUGAGGGGCGAGCGUUACUCGGAAUCACUGGGCGUAAAGGACACGCAGGCGGCCAUACAAGUCAAGUGUUAAAGACCGAGGCUUAACCUCGGGAAGGCACUUGAUACUGUAUGGCUUGGUGCUAGGGGAGGGAGGUGGAAUGCCCGGUGUAAGGGUAAAAUCUGUAGAUAUCGGGUAGAACGCCGAAGGCGAAGGCAGCCUCCUAUCUUAGUCACGACGCUCAGGUGUGAAAGCUGGGGGAGCAAACAGG
rnacentral:rRNA from 1 species